AUCGUAUCGGCAGGGGUUUUCGCUCUCUUUCAGCAUUUCUCAGAGAGAAGAGGUUGCGAGAGAUCUUGUUUCGCUGCGAUCGAUCUUAUCGGCAGGUUUUGGCUCUCUUUCAGCAUUUCUCUUGGAGGUGGAGAGAAGAAGUUCUUUUUCUUGAGAGCUUGGGAGAUGGCUUCGAAGAAAAAUUUCCAGAGAUAAAUGGAUCGAACUCAAGCAUGCCAUGCCAAAUUCAAGGUC